AAUGAACGUUGGCGGCGUGGAUUAGGCAUGCAAGUCGAGCGGAAAGGCCCGCAAGGGCACUCGAGCGGCGUAAGGGACAGUAAUGUGUAGGUAACGUACCCCUGGGUCUAGGAUAGCUGCGGGAAACUGCAAUUAAUACUAGAUAACGUCUCCGGACCAAAGGUGUGAUUCCACCUGGGGAGCGGCCUACAUCCUAUUAGCUAGUUGGCGAGGUAAUGGCUCACCAAGGCGAAGAUGGGUAGCAGGUGUGAGAGCACGACCUGCGUCACUGGGACUGAGACACUGCCCAGACACCUACGGGUGGCUGCAGUCGAGAAUCUUCGGCAAUGGGCGAAAGCCUGACCGAGCGACGCCGCGUGUGGGGAUGAA
rnacentral:rRNA from 1 species